rnacentral:rRNA from 1 species
AUACGUAGGGGGCGAGCGUUUUCCGGAAUUAUUGGGCGAAAAGGGCGCGUAGGCGGCCCGGGAAGUCUGGAGUGAACGUCCUGUUUUUAAGAUGGGAAUUGCUUUGGAUACUGGCGGGGUUACGUGCAGGAGAGGGAAGUGGAAUUCACAGCGUAGCGGUGCAAUGCGUAGAGAUUGGGAGGAUCACUAGUGGCGAAGGCGACUUACUGGACUGUAACUGACGCUGAGGCGCGAAAGUGUGGGGAGCAAACAGGAUUAGAUACCCUGGUAGUCCACACUGUAAACGAUGAUUACUAGGUGUGGGGGGACUGACCCCUUCCGUGCCGCAGUUAACACAAUAAGUAAUCCACCUGGGGAGUACGGCCGCAAGGUUGAAACUCAAAUGAAUUGGCGGGG